rnacentral:rRNA from 1 species
AAUCAACGCUGGCGGCGUGCCUAACACAUGCAAGUCGAACGCGAAAGCCCGCAAGGGUAAGUAGAGUGGCGCACGGGUGAGUAACACGUGGACAACCUGCCUUCGAGUGGGGAAUAACCUUCCGAAAGGAGGGCUAAUACCGCAUAACACCUCGGGACACAAGUUCUGGGGUUGAAAAGAGCAAUUUGCUCGAAGAGGGGUCCGCGCCUGAUUAGCUAGUUGGUGAGGUAACGGCUCACCAAGGCUUCGAUCAGUAGCCGUCCUGAGAGGGAGCACGGCCACACUGGAACUGAGACACGGUCCAGACUCCUACGGGAGGCAGCAGUGGGGAAUUUUUGGCAAUGGGCGAAAGCCUGACCAAGCAACGCCGCGUGGGUGAUGAAGUAUCUUGGUACGUAAAACCCUUUCGGCAGGGACGAACCUAAUGACGGUACCUGCGGAAGAAGCCCCGGCUAACUCCGUGCCAGCCGCCGCGGU